CAGCCGUAAACUAUGCGCGUUAGGUGUACUGGUGACCACGAGUCACCGGGGUGCCGAAGGGAAACCGUGAAACGUGCCGCCUGGGAAGUACGGUCGCAAGGCUGAAACUUAAAGGAAUUGGCGGGGGAGCACCACAACGUGUGGAGCCUGCGGUUUAAUUGGACUCAACGCCGGAAAUCUCACCGGAUAGGACAGACAUAUGAUAGUCGGGCUGAAGACUCUACUUGAUGAUCUGAGAGGUGGUGCAUGGCGUCAGUGACU
rnacentral:rRNA from 1 species